CACGUAGGGCGCAAGCGUUGUCCGGAAUUAUUGGGCGUAAAGAGCUUGUAGGCGGUCUGUUGCGUCUGCUGUGAAAACCCGGGGCUUAACCCCUGGCUUGCAGUGGAUACGGGCAGACUAGAGUUCGGUAGGGGAGACUGGAAUUCCUGGUGUAGCGGUGAAAUGCGCAGAUAUCAGGAGGAACACCGGUGGCGAAGGCGGGUCUCUGGGCCGAAACUGACGCUGAGGAGCGAAAGCGUGGGGAGCAAACAGG
rnacentral:rRNA from 1 species